AUUGAACGCUGGCGGCAGGCCUAACACAUGCAAGUCGAGCGGAUGAAGGGAGCUUGCUCCUGGAUUCAGCGGCGGACGGGUGAGUAAUGCCUAGGAAUCUGCCUGGUAGUGGGGGAUAACGUCCGGAAACGGGCGCUAAUACCGCAUACGUCCUGAGGAAGAAAGUGGGGGAUCUUCGGACCUCACGCUAUCAGAUGAGCCUAGGUCGGAUUAGCUAGUUGGUGGGGUAAAGGCCUACCAAGGCGACGAUCCGUAACUGGUCUGAGAGGAUGAUCAGUCACACUGGAACUGAGACACGGUCCAGACUCCUACGGGAGGCAGCAGUGGGGAAUAUUGGACAAUGGGCGAAAGCCUGAUCCAGCCAUGCCGCGUGUGUGAAGAAGGUCUUCGGAUUGUAAAGCACUUUAAGUUGGGAGGAAGGGCAGUAAGUUAAUACCUUGCUGUUUUGACGUUACCAACAGAAUAAGCACCGGCUAACUUCGU
rnacentral:rRNA from 1 species